rnacentral:tRNA from 1 species
GCACGCAUUGCGGAGCGGAAAUCACCAUGAAAGCCUUGUGGCACAAGGAAUUCUGUGCGGACUUAAAAUCCGCCGGGGGCAACCCCAUGCCGGUUCGAUUCCGGCUCCGGGCACCA